GAUGAACGCUGGCGGCGUGCCUAAUACAUGCAAGUCGAGCGAACAGAUGAGGAGCUUGCUCCUCUGACGUUAGCGGCGGACGGGUGAGUAACACGUGGAUAACCUACCUAUAAGACUGGGAUAACUUCGGGAAACCGGAGCUAAUACCGGAUAAUAUAUUGAACCGCAUGGUUCAAUAGUGAAAGACGGUUUUGCUGUCACUUAUAGAUGGAUCCGCGCCGCAUUAGCUAGUUGGUAAGGUAACGGCUUACCAAGGCAACGAUGCGUAGCCGACCUGAGAGGGUGAUCGGCCACACUGGAACUGGGACACGGUCCAGACUACUACGGGAGGCAGCAGUAGGGAAUCUUGCGCAAUGGGCGAAAGCCUGACGCAGCAACGCCGCGUGAGUGAGGAAGGUCUUCGGAUCGUAAAACUCUGUUAUUAGGGAAGAACAAAUGUGUAAGUACCUAUGCACGUCUUGACGGUACCUAAGCAGAAAGCCACGGCUAACUACGUG
rnacentral:rRNA from 1 species